GUGUGACUGCGUACCUUUUGUAUAAUGGGUCAGCGACUUAUAUUCUGUAGCAAGGUUAACCGAAUAGGGGAGCCGGAGGGAAACCGAGUCUUAACCGGGCGUUAAGUUGCAGGGUAUAGACCCGAAACCCGGUGAUCUAGCCAUGGGCAGGUUGAAGGUUGGGUAACACUAACUGGAGGACCGAACCGACUAAUGUUGAAAAAUUAGCGGAUGACCUGUGGCUGGGGGUGAAAGGCCAAUCAAACCGGGAGAUAGCUGGUUCUCCCCGAAAGCUAUUUAGGUAGCGCCUCGUGAAUUCAUCUCCGGGGGUAGAGCACUGUUUCGGCUAGGGGGCCAUCCCGGCUUACCAACCCGAUGCAAACUGCGAAUACCGGAGAAUGUUAUCACGGGAGACACACGGCGGGUGCUAACGUCCGUCGUGAAGAGGGAAACAACCCAGACCGCCAGCUAAGGUCCCAAAGUCAUGGUUAAGUGGGAAACGAUGUGGGAAGGCCCAGACAGCCAGGAUGUUGGCUUAGAAGCAGCCAUCAUUUAAAGAAAGCGUAAUAGCUCACUGGUCGAGUCGGCCUGCGCGGAAGAUGUAACGGGGCUAAACCAUGCACCGAAGCUGCGGCAGCGACACUCAGGUGUUGUUGGGUAGGGGAGCGUUCUGUAAGCCUGUGAAGGUGUGUCGUGAGGCAUGCUGGAGGUAUCAGAAGUGCGAAUGCUGACAUAAGUAACGAUAAAGCGGGUGAAAAGCCCGCUCGCCGGAAGACCAAGGGUUCCUGUCCAACGUUAAUCGGGGCAGGGUGAGUCGACCCCUAAGGCGAGGCCGAAAGGCGUAGUCGAUGGGAAACGGGUUAAUAUUCCCGUACUUGGUGUUACUGCGAAGGGGGGACGGAGAAGGCUAUGUUGGCCGGGCGACGGUUGUCCCGGUUUAAGCGUGUAGGUGUGUGUUCCAGGUAAAUCCGGUUCACUUUAACACUGAGGCGUGACGACGAGGCACUACGGUGCUGAAGCAACAAAUGCCCUGCUUCCAGGAAAAGCCUCUAAGCAUCAGGUAACAUCAAAUCGUACCCCAAACCGACACAGGUGGUCAGGUAGAGAAUACCAAGGCGCUUGAGAGAACUCGGGUGAAGGAACUAGGCAAAAUGGUGCCGUAACUUCGGGAGAAGGCACGCUGACACGUAGGUGAAGUGAUUUACUCAUGGAGCUGAAGUCAGUCGAAGAUACCAGCUGGCUGCAACUGUUUAUUAAAAACACAGCACUGUGCAAACACGAAAGUGGACGUAUACGGUGUGACGCCUGCCCGGU
rnacentral:rRNA from 1 species